rnacentral:pre_miRNA from 1 species
CUUGUACUCCGUCCGUCCGAAAAUACUUGUCAUUGAAAUGGAUGUAUCUAGAUGUAUUUUAGUUCUAGACACAUCCAUUUUGAUGACAAGUAAUUCCGGGCGGAGGGAGUACUUG